CAAACACAUUUCUUAGGAAAACUGUUCCCUGAGAGAGUAUAAAAGUAAGGUGCAGAAAACAUGAUGCUCACAGUAUUGCACACUCAACACGGGAGGAUUCUUCAAAUCUGAAUAGAUGCCUGCAAAAACGAAAGGCUUUGCUUCAGUUUCUGAGAUACAAGGAUUCUACAUCAUUUAAGAUGAGGAUGACUUCUUCAAUCCAGUGCAUCAUUGUCCUAGCCUGCUGUAUAACUUACACUUCAAUGGCUAUUUUGAAGUGCCAGUGUGUAAAAAGAAGCAAGUCUCUUAAUGCCUCUCUCAUCGCUGGUGUCAAGGAGUAUCCGCCUCGUCCAUACUGCAACCAACAAGAAGUAAUUGCCAUACUGAAAGAUAAGCGCUUACAGUGUCUUGACCCCAGUUCAAAAUUCACCCAAGCAGUCCUGCAGACAAUAAAAAUGCAGAGGGCGUUCCAUGCUCAUAAGAGGAUCAUCACCAGCCCAAAAACAACCACAUCAUCAUCAUCAUAAUGCAAAGGUGUUUAUCAUCGUUGCAAUUAAAUAGAGAUAUCUAAUUUGUACACCUUCCCAAAUAAAGGGUAUGGUUGCUGUUUGUUUCUACAAAGUCAAACCCAGGGACUCGCUGAAACAAGUGAAAUAGUUUCACUUCAUUUGUUUAGAGUGUUGUUCACUGGAAGCUAAAAGUUAAUACUCCAUAACUGAGGAUGGGCACUUUUAGUAGACAGUUUGUGAAGCGAGAAUAUUCUUCCAGGUAAACAGAUGCGUGUAUGAAAUGUGAUUUAAGUAAGCUGGUAAGACUAUUGUAUUUCCAUCUUAAAAUAAUGCCUUAAGAUUUGAUUCAU